rnacentral:lncRNA from 1 species
UCAGAGGUGUAAUAAUUAUAAAUAAGGAUCUGAACAUAUUAUCUUCCAGCAAAUAAACCAACUAACAUCAACUACAAGAUGUAAUCAACACCACAAACAACCCACACAUACCAAUCUGAAGUUUUGAGACAAAGAUUGAAUACAAGACAUGAACUAGGGUUUGAGAUGAGAUGGUGUUGGUGUAUAUGUUGAUAAAGGUUGGUCCUCCCACGAAGGAGGAAGCGUUGGUGAUGACGAUGGC